AGCGGAGGAAAAGAAACUAACUAGGAUGUGUAGUAACGGCGAGCGAACCGCGCAAAGCCCAACUUGAAAAUCUCCCUUGGAGAAUUGUAGUCUAUAGAAGUACCCUCUGUAACGGGCGCAGCUCAAGUCUCCUGGAAAGGGGCGUCAGAGAGGGUGAGAACCCCGUAAGCUGUUGCUUUGUUGCCUCACGAGGUGCUUUCAAAGAGUCGGGUUGCUUGGGAAUGCAGCCCAAAUUGGGUGGUAAAUCCCAUCUAAGGCUAAAUAUUGGCGAGAGACCGAUAGCGAACAAGUACCGUGAGGGAAAGAUGAAAAGAACUUUGAAAAGAGAGUUAAAAAGUGCUUGAAAUUGUUGAGGGGGAAGCGUUUGAAUGCUAGAGUGCGCCUAGGCUUAUGGGUUCUUAACGGAGCUCUGUAUGUGCUAGGUGCUGGCCAGCAUGGGUUAGGCGAGCGGGAUAAACGCUGGGGUUGAUACCCGGUCUAUGCCGCUUGCUUGACCAAGGCGUGAAGACUGCCCUUGUCCUUCGGGAACUGCAGUCUCAAGAUGCUGGCAAAAGGCUUUCAACCGACCCGUCUUGAAACACGGACCAAGGAGUCUAACAUGUAUGCGAGUUGGUGGGUGGAAAACCCAUGAAGCGUAAGGAAACUGACUGGUGAGAUGGCCUGUGCCUGCAUCAUCGACCGACCAUGCGUUUCUGCAAAAGGUUUGAGUGCGAGCAUACCUGUUGGGACCCGAAAGAUGGUGAACUAUGCCUGAGCAGGGUGAAGCCAGGUGAAAACCUGGUGGAGGCUCGUAGAUGUGCUGACGUGCAAAUCGCUUUUCGGACUUGGGUAUAGGGGCGAAAGACUAAUCGAACCUUCUAGUA
rnacentral:rRNA from 1 species